CCUACGGGUGGCUGCAGUGAGGAAUAUUGGUCAAUGGGCGCGAGCCUGAACCAGCCAAGUCGCGUGAGGGAUGACGGUCCUAUGGAUCGUAAACCGCUUUUGCCCGGGAGCAACACACGCCACGUGUGGCGUUCUGCGAGUACCGGAAGAAAAAGCACCGGCUAACUCCGUGCCCGCAGCCGCGGUAAUACGGAGGAUGCGAGCGUUAUCCGGAUUCAUUGGGUUUAAAGGGUGCGUAGGCGGAAGGUCAAGUCAGCGGUAAAAUUGAGAGGCUCAACCUCGUCGAGCCGUUGAAACUGGUUGUCUUGAGUGGGCGAGAGGUAUGCGGAAUGCGUGGUGUAGCGGUGAAAUGCAUAGAUAUCACGCAGAACUCCGAGUGCGAAGGCAGCAUGCCGGCGCUCAACUGACGCUCAUGCACGAAAGUGUGGGUAUCGAACAGGAUUAGAUACCCGUGUAGUC
rnacentral:rRNA from 1 species